AUGAACGCUAGCUACAGGCUUAACACAUGCAAGUCGAGGGGCAGCAUGGCCUUAGCUUGCUAAGGCCGAUGGCGACCGGCGCACGGGUGAGUAACACGUAUCCAACCUGCCGUCUACUCUUGGACAGCCUUCUGAAAGGAAGAUUAAUACAAGAUGGCAUCAUGAGUCCGCAUGUUCACAUGAUUAAAGGUAUUCCGGUAGACGAUGGGGAUGCGUUCCAUUAGAUAGUAGGCGGGGUAACGGCCCACCUAGUCUUCGAUGGAUAGGGCUUCUGAGAGGAAGGUCCCCCACAUUGGAACUGAGACACGGUCCAAACUCCUACGGGAGGCAGCAGUGAGGAAUAUUGGUCAAUGGGCGAGAGCCUGAACCAGCCAAGUAGCGUGAAGGAUGACUGCCCUAUGGGUUGUAAACUUCUUUUAUAAAGGAAUAAAGUCGGGUAUGGAUACCCGUUUGCAUGUACUUUAUGAAUAAGGAUCGGCUAACUCCGUGCCAGCAGCCGCGGUAAUACGGAGGAUCCGAGCGUUAUCCGGAUUUAUUGGGUUUAAAGGGAGCGUAGAUGGAUGUUUAAGUCAGUUGUGAAAGUUUGCGGCUCAACCGUAAAAUUGCAGUUGAUACUGGAUAUCUUGAGUGCAGUUGAGGCAGGCGGAAUUCGUGGUGUAGCGGUGAAAUGCUUAGAUAUCACGAAGAACUCCGAUUGCGAAGGCAGCCUGCUAAGCUGCAACUGACAUUGAGGCUCGAAAGUGUGGGUAUCAAACAGGAUUAGAUACCCUGGUAGUCCACACGGUAAACGAUGAAUACUCGCUGUUUGCGAUAUACUGCAAGCGGCCAAGCGAAAGCGUUAAGUAUUCCACCUGGGGAGUACGCCGGCAACGGUGAAACUCAAAGGAAUUGACGGGGGCCCGCACAAGCAGUGGAGUAUGUGGUUUAAUUCGAAGCAACGCGAAGAACCUUACCAGGUCUUGACAUCCGAUGCAUAGUGCAGAGAUGCAUGAAGUCCUUCGGGACAUCGAGACAGGUGGUGCAUGGUUGUCGUCAGCUCGUGCCGUGAGGUGUCGGCUUAAGUGCCAUAACGAGCGCAACCCCUAUGGACAGUUACUAACGGGUGAAGCCGAGGACUCUGUCUAGACUGCCGGCGCAAGCCGCGAGGAAGGUGGGGAUGACGUCAAAUCAGCACGGCCCUUACGUCCGGGGCUACACACGUGUUACAAUGGGGGGUACAGAGGGCCGCUACCACGCGAGUGGAUGCCAAUCCCCAAAACCUCUCUCAGUUCGGACUGGAGUCUGCAACCCGACUCCACGAAGCUGGAUUCGCUAGUAAUCGCGCAUCAGCCACGGCGCGGUGAAUACGUUCCCGGGCCUUGUACACACCGCCCGUCAAGCCAUGGGAGCCGGGGGUACCUGAAGUGCGUAACCGCGAGGAGCGCCCUAGGGUAAAACUGGUGACUGGGGCU
rnacentral:rRNA from 1 species